CUCGAGUGAGUAAACCCAAAAGGGCUUGGCGAGAGUGAGCCGACGCUCAGCGUUCACAGCCCCGAACCUUCCGCGGCUGCCUUCUUCCGCUGCCCACAGAUUUCACAGCCGUUUCCAGACACAGGAAUGCUUUUGAUGCGGCAACAUCCUCCACAGCCCUGGAAGUGAAGGAAAAUUCCCGGUGUGAAAUGAAUCUCUCCGUUGUUCCCUGGUUUGAAGAAAAUCUCCGUGCGACUGCUCUCCAUCACCUGUGUGAGAAGCUGUGAGGGGCUUGCCCUGAGACAGCAGCAUUUUGAUGAUUAA